rnacentral:lncRNA from 1 species
GAGAAUUGAUGUUUCUAGCUUUGGUGAUUAAUUAGCUUUGAAAUAUUUAUUCUAAAAUAUAAAACAAAGUUACAUUAGAUUACGAACUUUGUAAUGCAUGCCAAGGUCAAGAAAUACUUAUUAAUACACGCAACUUAUUAUGUAAAUGCCUCUUUACACUUAGUCAAAUUUCCCUAAAUGACAAUUAAAACAUGGAGCAGGAUGGUACCAAUCAAAUUGUUCCGGCGAAGAUGUAGUCGCUUGAGCGCCGUCAAGUUCCCAAAUCCUUCCGGUAUCACUCCAAUCAAAUUGUUGUCCCGAAGAAAUAGUUCCACUAGCGCCGUCAAGUUCCCAAAUCCUUCCGGAAUCACUCCACUAAAGUUGUUGGCAAACAACCUCAGUACCUGAAGCUUCGAACACUCCGAUAACGAUGGUGGUAUCACACCACUUAAUUUGUUGAAGCCAAGGUCUAGCCAUGUGAGUCCUUGAAGACGGGGACAUAUGCUGGAUGGAAGACUGCCAGAUAAGCUAUUAUUUUGAAGAGCAAUAACUUCCAGUGAGGAAAUAUUGAACAUCCCCAGUGGCAGAAAACCGGAAAGCUGAUUAAAGUCGAGGAGAAUUUGCUUCAACUUUUUUAAUUUCCCAAUCUCCAUUGGUAUUGCUCCUUGUAGAGAAUUAAACUGCAGAUUGAACGUCUCUAGCUUUGACAUGUUGGAGAUAGAAGGUGGGAUAAAGCCUGUAAAGCUAUUGUUCUUUAGAGAAAAUUGUCGGAGUUGUUGGAAGGAACCAACCCAAGAGGGAAUAUUUCCGCUAAGCAUGUUAAUGCCUAAACUAAGGACUCGUAACCUGGACAGACGAAUCAAUUCAUUGGGAAGUUCUCCGUAAAAGUUGUUCCUGCUCAUAUCGAGGGACAUGAGAAAUGAGAGAUUGCCCAGUUGUGGAGGAAUGGUGCCGGUAAGGCCCAAGUUGGAGAUAUUCAAGGCAGUGACUCUGCGGUGGCGGGAGCCGCAAGUGACUCCUCUCCAGUCACAAACUGAGGAAGUAGCCGACCAGUUGCUUGCCAAGAUUUCGUGAGGAUCCCCAGUGAUUUUGGCUUUCAAUGAGAGAAGGGCUGAUUGAUCCGAGGUAAUGUUGGGGGCGGCCAUGGCUAAGCAAGAUAAGAGAGAACCUAGCAAGAAGAGUCCAAGGGGAAAAUACAAGUGAGAUAAUUUCUUCAUGAUUAAUUAUACUUUCAGUUUUGCUAGCAUUUAAGACAACAGACACGGGCUAAUAAUGUCUAUUGCAUGUACUUAUAUAUAUACAUACCAGACACUUGGUACAUCUAAUGCACGUAUGCCAGGACAAAGAUAGAGACAAUAAUAGCAUGAAUUCUGACCGGAUGAAAUUUGGUUUUGGAAUUAUCUUCCAGAUUAAAACAUACUUCUGUAUGGCAAGUCAAAGCUGGUUCUUUUUUACUUUUUACUUUACAUCAAAUUUUAAAAACCUAAAUACCCUCUAUUUUCUCCCAGAUCAUUUAUAGGGGAUAUUAGGUGUCAAUCCCCCAGAAAAAAUUGUCAAUUACCAAUGGUUUUCAAUUUCUUUAUUCUUUAGAUAACCACAAAUUGAAGCAAGUAAAUCGAAUCUACAAUCAUAAAAUUAAAUAAAGUAAAAAUGACAUUAAAAAACUCCUAGGGUUAUGAAAUUCCUUCCUACUCUUACAAGUAAAAUUACUGGUUAAUUGAAUGUUAUUAUCUUAACUAAACAUUGUGUAAUUAGGGGUGGCAAUGGGGCGGGGGACACCUCCCCCAACCCCCGCCCCGUUGCAUUUUAAUUCCCCCUGCCCCCGCCUCGCCCCGCUUCCCCCGCGGGGGCACCCGUGGGGUUAAAAAAAUUUUAUUAUAUAAUUUCAUUAUAAUUAAAUUUGAGCAAAUAAUCAAGUACUAAAAUAUCAACACAUCACCAAAUUAUUAUUCAUUGUAACCUCACAAUUGAAACUCAUAAAAUAAUUAAACAAAGGUUAUUUGAAUACAAUCUAAUAUAAUAAAACAAAUAUAACUAAAAUAAUCAAGUUUUCACUUUUGAUACAAUUACAAUCACUAAAUUAUUAUUGUGUUUUUUUAGAAAAAAGUGUUAUUGUAUUAAGUGUAGUUAGGAAUUUAACAUAAAUGUAUUAAUAAAUUUAGUAUAAAUAAUUAAUAAUUUUUAUUAAUAGACAUGUAUAAUUAGUAGUAUAAUUGAUAAUAUCAUUAUAUAUAUAUAUAAUUAUGUACAUAUAUAUAUAUAUAUAUUUUUUCAAACGGGUGGCGGGACGGGGGAGUAUACCCCCGUCCCCUGCCCCAUUUCUAAACGGGGGGAAAAAAUUCCCCCCCCCACCCCAACCCCUGCUCCAAUGACCCCCCACGGGGCGGGUGCCUGUCCCCGUUGCCAUCCCUAGGUGUAAUUUCCUAAUCUAUGUAAAACAUGUUUUUGUAGUGAAUCAUCUAUACUUGUUAUUAAACUAUAACUACUCUCGUAGUUAUAAAAUUAACUACAAGUUCAUUUUGUCGGAGAAAUUACAUGAAAUAAUACCACCAAAGCCAAAAAAAAAAAAAAGUGCACGUCUACUCUCGUGAGUGCAUUUAGUGUUAAAUUUUAAUUCUCAUUGCAAAUCUAAUACAUUGAAAUUACCAUAGUUAAUGUCCAGUAAUCAUGAUUACAUAAAUAAAAUUGCUAAAUAACUUGUUCAAAAUCAUAGUAUCAAAUAACCAAGUAAACAUCACAAACAAGAUACAGGAAGUUCAUGCAUAACUCUAGACAUACACUUUAACAGCACAUGAUGAAUAUAAAAUCCAAAUUUGUAUAAUAAUUAAACAAUAGAAUCCAAUACAAAAGACAAAAGAAUCCAACCAUGAAUCUUUUAUUAAUCGGGCUAAUGUCUCUUCAAACUAAACUCAAUCUUCUUUAAAAUUAGAAACAUGCUUGGAAAAUUGAUUUUUUUUUAAAAAAAAUGAAAGUUGAAAGGUGAUUGAACUUGUUGGGCCAAAGUUUUUUUUUUAAUCAAAAGUUAUUUGUUUAAGCAAAUAAACUAUCAAAUGAAAGUAUAAAAAAUGACACUGCCUAAACCCAACAAGCAACAAAUGAAGUAUCAAAGAAUUAAAUUACCAAAAUUGGAAGAAAGUGUCUGAAAAACUUGGAAGAAAGUAUUAAAAAAACCCUUUUACAUAAUCUUUUAAAGAUUAAAACCGUAGAAACAUAUAAAAAGAUGCAUAUUACACUUAAAAGAAUAUUUGGAUAACUAUUUCAUUCACAUUUUGAUCUUUAAGAAAACAUAUAUAAGUCACAACAUUAAGUGCUCGUGUCCUUCCAUACAGGCAUUUUUCGAAAAGAACUAAUAGGUUGCAUUUUGUCAUUUAAUUUAUGAUUGUUUUCCCCUUAAUUUUGGCCAAGCAUUGCAUUAAUUGGUAGAUUUUAUUUAUUUUUUGUGACUGGUGUUGUUUGUAGGGAUCUGGAGCGAAAAGAAGUUAAGAACGUGAUUUUAACUAGGUUUCUAUACACUUCGACGUAGGUGCAUCAAAGUCUAACUUUACAUGACCAGAAACUCGGGAUUUGACACGUGAUUUUUAAUCUUGAAUUUUAGUUGAUUUGAAGCCAUGGAAGUCAAACUCUACAGCGCAUACUAGUCUCCUAUUUCUAUUAGGACACCAGUUUAGUUAGUUAUCUUGACUUUUUGGAAACAAUCUUUUUAUAGGAGAUAUAGGAGAUGAAAUCCAAAAAAAUAGCAUCGUAACUUUUUCUGUUCUCCUUUGUCAUAAGAAAUGAACGGACGUCUUUUCUUUUCUUGUUCAUCGCACUUUUUGGAGAAUGGUUGCAGCACUAAACUCAAAUAUUUCACGCGUGGCUUUUUCCAUGAUGAUGAACUAAACAUUUUAUUCUAAUAAAAAAUAACAGAGGAUUUGGUUCAUCUAAAAUUGUGAGAUCGAAUUGAUUAUAUUUAAUUUUUUUAUUACUGGUAUUCGUACAUUCUCUAAUUUAAUUUCUUAUUGUUAUUAUAUUGUUUGAAUAUCAAGGGCGUCUGAUAUUUAAUUCAAUCUAAUAACCUAAAAUCAAUUAGAGUAGUUAAAUCCAUAAUUAUUUAAUUGCUUUACAAUAAUCGUAACUGGCAUGAUUGGAUUUGUGUCAGGGAACAUAUGAGUUAAUUUAAAAUAACUCUCGUAACGUCUUAUUUGGUUAGAAUAGGGUUUCUCUAAUUCUUAAACAAUUGAAAAAUUGAACUCUAAGGUCGUACCCAGGGUUAUUUUCUUGAUUAGGGCAGUAGUUAACGAUCGUACCUUAAUCACCAAUAUAGCAAGAAGAAAUUGAUUAUCAUCGCGUGUUUGACAGUUAUAACUUUAUUUAUCCGUUAAUAAGUUAAAUUAUUAUUGCAUCAGUGAUCAAUUUUAGUGAACCAUUUCCGAAAUUAUUCCUUGGUUAGAAUUUAUUUAUUAAUGUUUCAAUUUAAUAACUUAUCAGUUAGGCCUUGUGGCUAUAUUGAGCACUCGCUCUCAACUCACUUUCGGUCGGUAUUACCUAUUUGAAACGAAUUAUUUUUAGUUCCUGUGAAUUCGACCAUUUUCACGGUUAUAUGUAAAAUUUAUACUUUAUUUGAAUAGAUAUUUAUUAUUCAAGAACAACCGUUCAUUACACCAAUUUUGUGGCUAUAUUGAGCAGUCGCUCUCAACUCACUUUCGGUCGCACUCGCUUUCUCAACUUCUUCAUCUGUUUUUUCUCCAAGACAUUUUUACAAGUCUUCGACGUGUAUUCUGGGCUAACGGGCUAAGACAAACCGAGACGACCAAGACUUUGGGAUGUACAACGACACUACAAUGCCAUUUUUCCACAUAAUCGGAACAUUAUCUUCCCAUUCGACAUAGAACACAAUUUUGUAUUUUAUACUCAUCUUCCCAAUCAAGCCGAAAGACAUACAAACAAAUUUUGCUGAUCUUAGACGUAAAUCUAUGAAAUUGUAUUGCUUAAAUUCACCAUUCAAUCGUUUUCCUCAGUUGCAGUCUUCAUUGCAGACAGUGCCAUAGUCGUCAAGGUGGUGAGGUGACUACAAAUAUGAAAGGGUACUUUGCCAGUGUUAACAUUCUCAUUUAGUGAUACAAAUUUAUCUCUUUUUUUUUUGUUCCCACUAUUUCAAAUAUAGUCCAAUGAGAAGCAAAUUGAAGGUGUGAGUAAAAAAUCUUUGCUUCCUAUCUUUUAACUUCAUUUGAUGACAUGUAGAAGUAUGUUGAAGGGAAAAAAUCUUUGAGUUUACACAAAAUGAACAAAAGAAAACAAGAAAGAAGAAAAUUUUUGUCAUCACAAGAUGAUUUGAAAUAAAGCAAGAGAUGCAGACACUUAUGUAAACUACAAAUGAGUUGCUCUAUGCUCUCUUAUUUUGGAAAAUAAGUCGAUCUCGGAUCUUAAAUAGGAAGUAUGGAUUAAAUUAUCUUCAUAUAUAUCUUAUAGAUUUUCAUGAGAAAAUUUCUGACCAAUUGUAAUUUCAAUUAUUUGAGAUAAUUUGUACAAAAGGAAGACCAAUUAUUAAUAGAGCUGCUAUAUUAAAAUGCAAUAAUACUUUAUCCAAGAGAAUUCACAAUUAAAACAAUUAAAGAGCAUUGUCCAAAAUGAGGAACGAAAGUUAUAAAAAGUGGACCAACUAUAGCCAAACGCAAAAUCUAAGAACAUUGGACAAGUAAAUUUUUAAAAGCUUUUCUUAAAGCAAAAGCUUGGAGAGGAGGCGAGGUGGAAGGCAAUGGGCAUAGGGCAUUUUCCCAAAAUUAUAGGCCAGCGAGAUAAGGACUUCAAAAGUAUUUCUCAAAAUUUAUGGGGGAUCAAAGUUCAAAACCCCAGCCACCCUCUCUUUUGCAAUUUCUCAUUUGCACCUAACCGGCCGAGAUUCAUCUUUACGUACGUCAAGUUUUAUACUGCUAAGAGAAAGUAACAUUAUUCAUGGAAAGGUAUAAAUAGAAAAUAGAUAAAGCCAGCAAUUUAAGAUACUGAUCCAAAUUGAAUUUGAAAAAAAAAAAGGAUAUUAAACGGGUUCAUAGAAAUAGCCUUGUACAAAAUCUUCAGCUGAUGCUUGCAAAUGAACCCUCAUUCCUUAUUAUUUUACUUUAUUUAGUUAUUUAUCUAUUUACUUGCUCGAAUUUUCUCAUAUUUUUAAACAAAAAAAAAAAAAGACAAAGAUCAAAAUGUAGGACAACUUUCAAGUGAUUUUUGAGACCUAUCAACAUUUCAAAUCAAGACCGCAAUCUCGACACCUAAUAAAUUUUUCCACCUGCAAAGAAUGAUGACAAGGGUAUUGAUUAAUUAUAUUACUCUUGUGACACGUCUUUGGGUAGUUCAAUAGGCCAACUGUCGUGCUUUCAUUUUGACAAGUUUUAUAACGCGUAUCUUAAAUAUUUCGGUUGGGAAAAUGUUACGCUUUCAUUUUCAAAUUUAUAGCAUGUGCUUAUCCAGUUCUAACAUGCCCAAGACUUGCAACUAACACCGACAAUGGAAGUGUUUCUUUCCACAAAAAUCGGCGCAUCAUCUUCCCAAUCAACCCAGAGCUACUAAUUAUACCAAUUUUUGAGCUUUCAAAAAACAAAUAAUGAGAGCUUGGGGUUAGUUGGGAUUAUUUUACCAAUUCAAGUCUCCAAUCUUUGUAGUCAAGGUCUUCUUUGAAAGUGAAUGUUGGACUUUCUCAGCCAAAAUGUUAGAGCUUUAUGGAGAUGAUGACAGGUGGGCGACAUUUAAUUUCUGGAACGUCUCUAUGGUUCAUUUUGUGGCACAAGUCAAGCUUCAAUUACUAUUUGAUACGGUAGCAAUUCGCAUAUACAGUGUGUUGGUACCUACAUAUUUACAUGGUUUUAUUACGUUGUCCAAAGUCUUUACUUUUUAUACACUUGUUUUACGUUGUCCAAAUUUAACGGUAAAUUUAACGGAAUCCGAUAAAUUUAACGGGCGAUACCGUUAUUUUCGUUAAAUUUAACUAAUUCUGUUAGUUUACAAUUUAAUUUAAAACAUGAGAUAUUAUUUUAUAUAUUUUGAAACCACGAGAGAUUUUUUUGUAUAUUAGGUAUAUUACAGAGCUUUUUUACUUUUAACCCUUUUUCUAACCCGUACCGAUUCUUUGGCAAAUUUUUUCUACCCGUCGAGAACCAAGAUUUCGCAAAAGGUUAUAAUAGUUCCCAAACCAGCAUAUCAUAGAAAAAUGAAAGAAAAAAGCAGUGCAAUCCGCUUACAGUGUAUGUCGAUACUACAUUAUCAGAAGCCUACACACACAUACAUGUAUACAUCUUAAAGAAAAAUCUAUCUAUCCAGCUAUUAAACUAUUCUUAUUGCCCAUUUAUAGCCCCUUAAUAAUACAUUGUCGCAAACAAGUCCCUUAAAACAAAGUUGGUGCUAACGGAACGAGGGGUAAUAUUGAUCAAACACAAUAAUUUCUAAACAGUUUUUUGACGAAAUUGUCCGUGCGACCAUUGAACUAUUUUUUUGCACUCCUUUGGCCCCUCAAUAAUGCACUGUUGCAACCAAACCCUUCAAAAAAAAAGUGUCACACUGAAGGACUUACGUCAAAUUUAGCUAUUAGUAUUUACGAAAUAAGGGGUAAAAUUGACCAAGACAUCAAGAGAAAUGUUCUAAAAGGCGUCACAGAUGAAAUUGCCUCAUUAUUUCAUCAAAGCCCAAUGAAGGUUAAGAAAAAUGUCAAGAAGAAAAACAUUAAGAAAUUUUCUUGUUUGGUCAAUUUUACCCCUCAUUCUGUCAACACUAACGGCUAAAUUUGAUGUAAAUACUUAAACAUGACACUUUUUUUUGUUGAGGGGCUUGUUUACGACAAUGUAUUGUUGAGCAGUUAAAUGAACAUAAUAGGAAUAGUUUAGGGUCGGGCAGAUAAUUUCCUUGAUACCUUCUUGUGUUUGGUCAAUUUUACACCUCAUUCCGUUGGCACUAAUGGCUACAUUUAACGUAACCCCUUAAACGUGACACUCUUUCUUAUUAUUUUAUUUUAUGCACUUUACUUGCUAAAUGGCUCACACUUGAAGCUACCUGCCCAUCCCAAGUCACUCGAAUCUCCCAUAGCAUGAAGAGCUGUAGGGAUACAAUAUGUUGAACACACCAAAGCUAAUCUCUUGUACGUUCAAAUGUGAUAUUUAUCAUAAGAAAAGACAAAUGAUAUGUUUACUCCAAAAAAAAAAAAAAAAAAAAAAACCUCCGUGCACUCUACCCUUCUUUUUUAACUUAAUGAAAUAAUAUAAAAAUCUAUCAAAUAUUCUUGGAGACAGCAUUACCCUUCUAUGUAUUCGCCAGUAACUCUGUCCCUUCAAUUUGCUUAGUUUUUCCUACUCUAAAAUGAGGUUUAAAUUGUUAUACAACCAAGAAAAUUUCUGAUACUUUAUAUACAAAAUCACCUAAUUGUGUUUACUAUAUUUUUCUAAAAUAGUAAUAUCCGGGAAAAAAAGUUUUUUGGUGGUUUUUUUUUUUGUUGGGGGGGGGGGGGGGGGGACGGGGGUGGUUGUAUUGGGGAUACCUUUUCCCAGUUCUAUUGGAGUCCAAGUCUUCUUUGAAAAUGAAAUAUGAAAUUUUUCUCAGCCACAAUAUCAGAUCAUAAUGUGGUUGAUGGCAAGUUAGCAACAUUUAAUUUUUCUGGGCCUUAUUUGAAGGGCUUUUCCUGUAUAGCAAUCUGUCAACUGUUUGUGCUCUUCAUAUCGGUUGGGGUGUUCAACAGAACCGCAUAUAUGGUGUUCAGAGCGACUUGAUUCCGGGGAAAUGUCUCGAUAUGGAGCAAAAGGCCAAGAACACAAAUAGUUAACUAACCGAGGAAGAUGAUUAACCAACAAAUAGCAGAAUAAGAGCGUUGAAGAAAUCAGCAAACGACUACACAAUGGAAAACGCUGAUCAGCAAUGACGCCCCACCUUAUCAACCUGUCUUUAGUAUCCAAUCGAUAUUUCUACACAUAACUCAUAUGAUAAAGGCAGGUCACAACAAUUUCAUGGCUGGCUUAACAAAUGGAAAAAAAAAAAAAAAACACAAUCUCAUUCCUUUCUUCUUCCCAUUGGCAGUUUAAUUCCAUUGAACUUCACUAAAAAUUGAAGAGGACUUGGCCUAUAAAAUACUACCAAACUGCCUCACUAUAGUACGGCCAUGUUUCAGCAACGGAGGUCCAUGAGGGUAACAUUAAUUUUCGAACCAUAUAAAAGCGGAAUCUCCAUUGCCAAUCACUGACACGAUAUAAUCUGGUGUUAAAUGUGUCUUAGUUUCACCAUUUUUUCUCCAAAAUCAAGAAUAGUCAAUAGGACUAGAUAUUGCCAGGCCAGAGUAAUGUCACACAAGUUUUAGAAGUUUGAUGGGAAGUUGUAUCCUCACGUAGAAACUCAGCGUGUACCCUUUUAGUGUUAAUUAAAUUUUUUAUGAUACGAGGAACACAUUGCAGAACCAUCCUUAAUCAACCAAUGCAUUUUUUGAGUGUGUUUGUUUUUUUUUUUUUCACUAAUUCUGACUAAGGUUUCAAAAACCUCACUCGUUGAAAAUCUUUUAAAAAUUAUCCUUUCUCGUUGAAAAUCUUUUAAAAAUUAUCUAAUCCAUUUAACUCUAAAAAUGUUGAGUAUCUAAUCCUUUUAUCCCAAAUGGUAUGCCAUAUGGAAUUGCAAUUAAUAUGUUACUGAAUGCUCUGAUAAGUAAUAUAGUGAAACUGUUUUGGCAUCCAUAUAGACAAUUCAUAUGGACUCUUUUCUUUUCUUUUAUUUAUGCCCUUGUGACUGCUAUCCAUCUUAGUUCUACACAAUCAUGACUCUUUUCUUUAUGCCCACCUUGAGUAAAUUCAAAAACUUUUUUGGUCUUGAAGUAUAUUGAGCGUAGCCCUACACAUUGAUGCCAAUUUCACAAGUUGGUUGAGAUUGUUAGGAGACAAACUCAACUAGUUAAGGCCCAACCUUCCUAGCUACAAAUUUUUUUUUUUUUUUUUUUUUGGGUAGCGACAUAGGUUUAAUCAUAUUGUAGUAGGACUUUUUUUGUAGUAGGACUAAUAUCCCUUUGCAGGGUUAUGCAAAGAUUAAAAAAUCCCCAAAUAAUCUCCCUAUACUUUAGACUAAUCUGGAAUUUGGAUGGAACCGUUUGUCUAAAUGAAAGUUUGUGAAAUUUCAAUAUUUCCCUAUUUAAUUAUAUUAUCAUUUUUAUAUUUAAAAUUCUUAUUUUUCCUAUUUGCGUUUUUUUUUUCUUGUUUCCCCUUUUCUUCUUCCACCAUCAUCACCAGACCCAAACUUUUCCUAUCUCUGUCGUCUCUCAAGCUAUCACCAUGGUCCGCCGCUCCUUCACAAACUCCUCCCAUCACCACCACUACUGCGACCUUUUAAUUGAAAAGCAAAUCAAGACAAGACCCAAGAUUUUGCUUUCUAAAUCCUCUUAGAGCUUCCGAAUCUAUAGACGAAUAUACCACUAUCAUCACCCAAAAUCGAAAGACGCCGUGAAUGAACAAUAAAUCUCCAGCACCCCAAGAAAUUCACAUUCCACCCAUUUUAGUACUAGUGGUGCCACUGCCAAUUCAAGGUUCAUCAUUGUCAUCAUCAUUCUUGGUCGCAGAAGAUUAAUGCACAAGCAAAGGAAAAAAGGAAGAAACAGGUUUAUGCGUGCAAAAUAUAAAACUCUAAUAAAGAUUUUCAUGAAACAGAACUAUGCAAAUGCAGUUUUUCCUCAGGAUUCCUUUCAAAUGACAACUUAGAAAAUGAACUUAAAACAAAUAUAUGAUUGAUAUAUCAGCAUACUUAAGGUGGAUAAUAUAACUCAUUUUGCUUCAUGUUUCAAAUCUUGGCAUCAUCCUGCAACAAAAGACAUUGGAAAGAUUAUUUGAGCGGAGCAAACUUGAUCAGUAGGAUUAAGUAAAAGAACGUACUUUCAUGCCGAGAUAUUCGAAAAAUACUCAAUUUGACGUUUUAUCUUUUGAAGUGUUGCCACAACAUCCUUCAUAUUAGUCCGAUCUCGCGGGCACUUAGCACAGCAACUCAAAGCCAAUUUGAAGAUCACUGAAAUACACUCCAAUUUCUCAUUGAAAUGCUCAUCUUGCCGCCCAAGUAAGUUUGCAUCUAUAACCUGAGUGGUUGCAUUAGGCAGAGAUUCUUCAAUCCAACUCUUCAGGCUCAAAUCAUCUUCGAACAUUUCAUCACUAGGCUUCAUUCUUGAAAAGGUUUCCAUCAAAACUAUACCAAAACUAUAAACAUCAACCCUUGUUGACACCUGCCCUUCAAGUCCAUACUCUGUGAUAUGAAAGGCAAUCCAUCAUGCUUAAAGUGAAAAAAAUAGAAAACUUGGAAGAUUGACAUAUAAUUCAUGAAAAAAAACAGAUAAAAAAAGCAACUAAAAAGAAGUCAAAUAUGCCAAACCUGGUGCCAAGUAUCCAAGCGUUGCAAGUGUCUUGGUAUGCAGAACACUAUUUUCUUCAUCCAAAAACUUUGUCAUGCCAAAAUCACUUACAUGAGCAACCAUAUUUUCGUCGAGCAAUAUGUUGCUAGGUUUCAGAUCACAGUGAACCACUGGUGCUGUAUAACCAAAAUGGAGAUAUUCCAAUGCAGAAGCAACAUUCAUCAUUAUGCUUAUCCUUUGCAGGAGAUCCAGCCAACGGUUGUGGGAGUAUAACCAUUUCUCAAGGCUCCCAUUAGACAUAUAAUCAAGGACCAAGGCUUUAAAGUCCAAGUUAGAGCAGCUACCAAUCACUUUGGUUAGGUUUCUAUGGCGAAGGCUGCGUAGAACUUCACACUCUGUAUCAAAACUCCCGGAAGUGACUUCUGCUAGUAAAGUGAAAACUUUCACAGCUACAACUGUCCCAUCCGUCAAAAUACCCUUAUAUAUAGAUCCAAAACUCCCUUUGCCAAGUAAAUUGCUUUCAUCAUAGCCAUUGGUCGCUUCCACAAGUUCAUAAUAUGAAAUCCUUUUUGGCAAUCCCAUGGGUAGUAAAUCAGUGUUUCUUGAAACCCCAUCCUUUCUUCGGCAUCUUAAAAGUAAAAUUGCAGCAGUUGUAAGAGCAAUUAUUGUUGCUGCAAUACCUGAUAGAAUGCCUAGCAUAUGAAAUACUUUCUUCUGAGUCGAUUUGUGAAUCCGAGGAGAAGGACAUGGAGGAAUAUGAAAUCUCUGAGCGCCACACAAGUCAUCAUUAGAUAUGAAUGAUUCAUAUGUGAAGUUCUCGAAAGGACCACUAGAGGGAAUUUCUCCUCUUAAACGGUUGAAAGAAAGAUUAAUGUGUUUGAGAUAUAAAAGUGUCUCCAAGGACUUUGGUAUUGGACCUGAUAGAUUAUUAUUGGAUAGAUCCAAAAAUUCCAAGCUUAACAUGUGACUGAGAGAGUCUGGAAUAGGUCCCUGAAGUUUAUUUUGUGCUAAUGAAAGCGUUGCUAAACUUUGCAAGCCGCCAAAGGAACUUGGAAUAUUCCCAUUAAGGCGAUUUCCAGACAAAUCUAAUAGUGUUACUACCUUCAAAUUUCCAGUUUCAUAAGGUAGUGAGCCACUCAAUGAAUUAUAUGACAGGUUCAACUUCAAGAGAUCAGUGAGAUUCCACAAGCUAGCAGGUAUGCUUGAGUCUAAUAAGUUCCCGGCAAAGUCAAUUUCUCUCAGGGAACUAAUAUUAUUUAAGCAUGAUGGUAUUGACCCACGAAACUGGCUUUGCCCCAAAUAGAUUCGGUACAAUCUCUUUAACUUGCAAAUGCUAUCUGGAAUUGAACCACUUAAUUGAUUAGCACUCAAAUUCAUACUUUGAAGAUUUUGCAAGUAUUUCAUUGUGCUCGGAACGGGCCCACUCAGGUGAUUUCCAUCUAGACUCAAAAUCAUUAGGCUGCUCAAAUUCCCAAUUCCAUCGGGAAUGCUUCCCUUGAUUCCGCAACCAUAUGCAUAGAAUCCCUCCAUAGAAGUUGAGAGAUUCCCAACUGACAUCGGAAGAAAACCGUGCAGCGGAUUGUCACCAAAUGAUAAGUGUUCUAGAUGCUUACAAUUUGUCAAGUAAUUGAUAAAACCCAAUUCUCUCGAUGAAGGUUCAGUUGUCAAAUGAUUAUCAUCGAGAUACAAUUUUAUUAGAAGUCUUAGGUUUCCAAGAGAGUUUGGAACUGGACCGCUGAAUCUAUUUCCACCGAAGUCUAAAAAAGUCAGCUUAGACGCAUUUGAGAUUGAGGCUGGUAUGACUCCAUCAAAAUCAUUUGAGAAGAGAUCAAGCCAUUCAAGGUUGAUCAAUUCAUAACCCGAGGAUGACGGAAGCCUUCCAGAAAGCGUAUUGUUCGAUAGGUCCAGUACUUGUAGUGUCGAGAUGUUGAAUAUUUGGGCUGGUAUGGAUCCAGUUAGGCUAUUGAAGUCCAAAACAAGUUCUUCAAGAUGCUUUAGGUUGCCAAGCUCCUGCGGAACACUACCUAGAGAGUUACCACGUUUACAAAUGUCAGUGCAUGCUACGGAUUAAUUUACUCGUGUUAGAAUGUUUUAAAGAAUUUACUUAAAACCUCAUUACAAGGAAUUGCUUUUUUUUUUGGGAUAAAAUACUUUCACAACAACCAAGAGAUAUUUAAGUCAAUAGGCUUUGAAGACAAUAGAAAGGCAAAUUUGCAUAUAUAAUCAACAUGGAAUUGUUUUUUCUUUCGGAUAAAUGCAUAUAUUUUGCAGAUUAAUAUGCUUAAUAAUUACAAACAUGAUAAAAUCUAGAAAAAACCAUAUAAAAAGAUUCAAGCUUAUAUAUAUAUAUAUAUAUAUAUAUAUAUAUAUAUAACUUCGCACAAAAAAAAGGGAAGCCUAAGCUUUGGUAGUUUGCUGAGGUGAUUGUGUGAUUCAUAUUUUGAUUAUUACGUCUGGAAAUGUUAUACGGUCUUUUUUACUACCACAUAUGUUUAAUAAGAAAAUUCUUUGUAUUCUUCUUUAGUUACCGAAAGUGUUACCAACUAUUUUUUCAGGUUUGAUAAGUAAUUACCUUUAUGUAUUCUAUAAUUACCUUUCAGGAUUUCCUUCAUACAAGCCUUCAAAUUACUAAUCAAUAUAUUAUUUAAUUGUUUGAGAAUAUACAACUAGCAAUAUGUAGCUCUUUUUUAAUAGUAUAUCAAAUAGUUAGGAAGGUACCAAUCAAAUUGUUCCCGCUAAGACCUAGUUGCUUCAGCGCCGUCAGGUUCCCAAAUCCUUCCGGUAUCACUCCACUAAAGUUGUUGUCAAACAACCACAGUACCUGAAGCUUCGAACACUCCGAUAACGAUGGUGGUAUCACACCACUUAAUUUGUUGUAGGAAAGGUCAAGCCAUGUGAGUCCUUGAAGACGGGGACAUAUGCUGGAUGGAAGACUGCCAGAUAAGCUAUUAUUUUGAAGAGCAAU